rnacentral:rRNA from 1 species
CCUACGGGUGGCUGCAGUAGGGAAUCUUUCACAAUGGGCGAAAGCCUGAUGGAGCAACGCCGCGUGCAGGAUGAAGGCCUUCGGGUUGUAAACUGCUUUUAUAAGCGAGAAAUAUGAUGGUAACUUAUGAAUCAGGAUCGGCUAACUACGUGCCAGCAGCCGCGGUCAUACGUAGGGGGCAAGCGUUAUCCGGAUUUACUGGGUGUAAGGGGGGCGCAGACGGAAGCGCAAGCCAGGAGUGAAAGCCCGGGGCCCAACCCCGGGACUGCUCUUGGAACUGCGCGGCUGGAGUGCAGGAGGGGCAGGCGGAAUUCCUGGUGUAGCGGUGAAAUGCGUAGAUAUCAGGAGGAACACCGGUGGCGAAGGCGGCCUGCUGGACUGCGACUGACGUUGAGGCCCGAAAGCGUGGGGAGCAAACAGGAUUAGAUACCCUGGUAGUC